rnacentral:lncRNA from 1 species
AAAUAAGUCAACAUGACGGAAAUGGUCAAUUGACCCCUAAGGAGUUAUUGUCUUUAUAGUCAAUUUUUAACAAUUUUCAUAAAAUUUGUAAAUUAACACUAACAUUUUCCACUGAAACUACUAGGCCAAGUUCAUUAUAGAUAGAAAUAAUUGUAAGCAGCAAGAAUGUUCAGGAAAGUAAGAUGUACAAACACAUCACCAUCACCAAAACACAAUUUUGUCAUGAAUCCAUCUG